rnacentral:lncRNA from 1 species
GUGACCAGAGCGCGUGCGCGAGGGUGUGGGGGGAUGGGAGGGGCAGCAGCCCUCUUCCGGGGGGGAGGGGCGGCGAGGCGAGGCCUGCGGAGCGGAGGAAGACAAACAUAAAGAUGAAGUGCUUAAUUCAAGGUCACACAAUGUCGGGGAUGGACCUCCAGAUUUCCUUACUGACCUGCAUUAUCUUGUGGAUACCUGAGUGAAUUCCACACCACCCAUUUUAUAGAUGAAACCACUGAGACAUGGAGCAAUUGACUGAGUAGUCACUGCCCCACCCCUGCCUGGAGCCUCACACAUGACUCGCCUCCUCUCAGUGACCACAGGUGAGACGUGGUCUUGUAACACAGUGGUUAAGAAUGUGACUUUGGAGCCAGCCUGCUAGGGGCUGAAUUCUGACUCAGCCAUUUACUAACUGUGUGACCUUAGUCUCACUGUUGCUCAGGCUGGAGUGCAAUGGCAUGAUCUCGGCUCAUCACAACCUCUGCUUCCUGGGUUCAAGCGAUUCUCCUGCCUCAGCCUCCCGAGUACCUGGGACUACAGGCACUCGCCACCAUGCCCGGCUGAUUUUUGUAUUUUUAAUAGAGAUGGUUUCACUAUGUUGGCCAGGCUGGUCUCGAACUCCUGACCUUGUGAUCUGCCCACCUCAGCCUCGAAAAGUGCUGGGAUUACAGGCGUGAGCCACUGCGCCCAGCCUUGUAUUUUUUUUCAGUUUGGGUAGCUGUCCCUAAUUCAUUUGUUAAAGGAGAAGCAAGAGCAAGAACCUUUAAUCUGUUCUCCUCUUCCCUAAUUUGAAAGUAGCUUGUUAUUUUGAAUAUCACUUUCUCUGAAAUAGCACAUCUCCAUCUCAGAGAAUGGAUUUAAUGUUUGGAUACAGCCAAAAGUCAUUUCAUUACCAAACCAUGGGGUGAAUAUACCAUGUAAAGCAGUUUGGGAUCAGAACUCACAGUCUGAAUUGUAAGUGAUGAGACUGCUGUCUCUCUGCUACAGCUUCUUGGCUGGCUCUGAAGGCUCUUUGAAGGCAGAUCCUAACAAGGGGACUGCUUUGAAGGGCCAUUGUUCAUUUGGAAUGAUAAAGUCUAUGUUGUUCAAAAAACAAAUGCUUGUAGCAGGUAUUUUUUCACUCCAGACUGAGAAUAUUGGUGGGAUAUUGAUAAGGGGUACUGAAUGGUAAUAAACAUGUGCUCUAGCUCUGUGCUAGUCAGCUUAUUUCAGAACUCUAGUUUGAUUCAGUUUCUUGCCUCUGACUCAAAAUGGAGGGAGAGUGAUUUUUACAUAAGAGAACACACCCACAUAUCCUUUUGGCAGCAGCUACCUGCCAGAGAUGUUGAAGAAGAGUAGCCAACCUUUACACAGCAGAUAUUGUGUGCCAGUCAUAGUCCUAAGUAUAAUACCUUACAUGUAUAAACUUCUUAUAAGGUUGGUGCUCUGUACCGAAUUGAAUAGUAUCCCCCAAAAUUCAUGUUGUCCCAGAACCUAUGAAAGUGAUCUUACUUGAGGGAGGGGGGAGGGGGGAGGGAUAGCAUUAGGAGAUAUACCUAAUGCUAAAUGACGAGUUAAUGGGUGUAGCACACCAGCAUGGCACAUGUAUACAUAUGUAACUAACCUGCACAUUGUGCACAUGUACCCUAAAACUUAAAGUAUAAUAAUAAUAAAAUAAAAAAAAAAAAGAAAGUGAUCUUACUUGGAAAUAAGGUCUUUGCACAUAUGAUCAAGUUGAGAUGAAGUUGUACUGGAAAGUCUGUCUAGUGACUGGUGUUGUCAUAAGAAGAGAGGGACACAGAGGGAAGAUGGCCACAUGAAGAUGGAGGCAGAGAUUGCAGUUAUGCUGCUGCAAACUAAGGAAUGGCUCUGGCCCUCCAAGGAUUGCUGAUAACCACCAGAAACUAGAAGAGACAAGGAAGGAUUCUUCCCUAGAGCCUUCAGAGGGAGCAUGGCCCUACUGACACCUGGAUUUCAAACUUGUAGCUUCCUAAACUGCAAGAGAAUAAAUUUCUGUUGUUUUAAGCCAUAUAGUUUGUGGUAAUUUGUUAUGGCAGUCCUAGGUAAU